rnacentral:rRNA from 1 species
UACGAAGGGGGCUAGCGUUGCUCGGAUUGACUGGGCGUAAAGGGCUCGUAGGCGGUUUGUCGCGUCGGGAGUGAAAACCUCGGGCUUAACUCGGGGCUUGCUUUCGAUACGGGCAGACUAGAGGUAUGCAGGGGAGAACGGAAUUCCUGGUGUAGCGGUGAAAUGCGCAGAUAUCAGGAGGAACACCGGUGGCGAAGGCGGUUCUCUGGGCAUGAUCUGACGCUGAGGAGCGAAAGUGUGGGGAGCGAACAGG